GCUCCGCCGCGGCCCUAAGCCGCUUUGCGGGGUUAAGGCCGCUUCCAGGGGUCCGAAUUCCUGUAGGGGACUGUCCAGAAGAUCCCGGAGCAGCGGGCGCCCGGCUGAGCGCGUUUUAGGUUUGAAAAAGUAAGAAGAUUGGCGAUUGUGCUCGUUUUAAUCGUGUCAGUGUGAUUCUGGAUUCAGCUCGACCAAGAGAGGAGCUUUGGGAGACUGAGGACGGAGCAGAGCAGCAGACACCCUGCACCGUCCCCGCUUCUGAGUGGGCUCCCUCCCAGCCGCCAGCCCGCCGACCAGCAGCACCCCGAGGCUGCAGGUCCAGACUUCCCCGCCCACCCCCUUGGCAGUCCCCCAGGCCACUGCUUCAGGAGGCGGGGCGGCUGCUGUCAUCUUCCUCCAGCCCCAUCAGGCCCCUGGCUGCUCUGGCUUCUCAGCUGUGUGAUGUGUACCCAGAUGAUUAAAUUACUGAGUCCUUUCUUUCAUAAUA